rnacentral:rRNA from 1 species
UACGGAGGGAGCUAGCGUUGUUCGGAAUUACUGGGCGUAAAGCGCACGUAGGCGGCUUUGUAAGUUAGAGGUGAAAGCCUGGGGCUCAACCCCAGAAUUGCCUUUAAGACUGCAUCGCUUGAAUCCAGGAGAGGUGAGUGGAAUUCCGAGUGUAGAGGUGAAAUUCGUAGAUAUUCGGAAGAACACCAGUGGCGAAGGCGGCUCACUGGACUGGGUAUUGACGCUGAGGUGCGAAAGCGUGGGGAGCAAACAGG